AGAUUGAACGCUGGCGGCAUGCCUUACACAUGCAAGUCGAACGGCAGCACGGGAGCAAUCCUGGUGGCGAGUGGCGAACGGGUGAGUAAUACAUCGGAACGUGCCCAAUCGUGGGGGAUAACGCAGCGAAAGCUGUGCUAAUACCGCAUAAGAUCUACGGAUGAAAGCAGGGGAUCGCAAGACCUUGCGCGAAUGGAGCGGCCGAUGGCAGAUUAGGUAGUUGGUGAGGUAAAGGCUCACCAAGCCUUCGAUCUGUAGCUGGUCUGGAGAGGACGACCAGUCACACUGGAACUGAGACACGGUCCAGACUCCUACGGGAGGCAGCAGGUGGGGAAUAGUUGGAC
rnacentral:rRNA from 1 species